AUCGCUAUCUAAUCAAACCUCUAAACUUGAAGGAUUUGGGAGUAGCUAAUUCUAAUUCUCUGUGGGAGAGAGAUCUAAACCCUAACUUUGAUGGCUACCUCUGAAUAAUGAUUUCUCCUCUCUCCUCCAGGGGCCAGGGGGUCUGGUUUUAUAGUCCCCUCAAGUGAACGUGAGCCAUUGGAUCAAACCGACAUAGAUUGUAUGGUUUAGAUUGAUCCUUUAGGUCGGUGGAGUCUUGCCCCGAAGCAGAGUCCUGAUUGGCCUCUUGGCCAGGGCGGGCGCCCAAGGGGGGUGGGCGGCCGCCCAGCUCCCGAGCCCGAUUCGCGUCCCGUUCGU
rnacentral:lncRNA from 1 species